rnacentral:tRNA from 1 species
GAACCAGUGUGCUUUAGUGGUUUGAGUGUUGGACUGUGACUUUGGAGACCAGGGUUCAAAUCCCUGCUUGACCA